rnacentral:misc_RNA from 1 species
GGGAAAGAAACCUUUAUAUUAAUCUAUAAUAGUAAUAUUAAUAGAUUUAAGACAUGAACACAAGCUAAUUAAUAAAUGAUCUUUACAUCAAGUACAAUAAUUGCAGACCCACCAUGAUGCACUGCUAGAAGACCAUUUUACCCAUAAUUAAAGUCAAGAUGAAACUCCUCUUGAGUCUUGUGUUGGCAUGCACCCUUAAACGGCUCCAAUUAAUGAAGCUCAUGGGUUUCUCUUGAACUCCACUGCCUCCUCUGAAUUUAAACCAUAUGGUUUGAUUUUGAAAAAAAAAAAAAAAUCCCCAGGAAAGCAAACCAUUUCGGUGCUUGUUUUUGGACAAAAAUCUCUACCCUUUCUCGUCAUGGAUGAGACUAUCACAAGCUAUCACCUAAUUAUUAAAGCACAAUACAAGCAUGGAAAUAGCAAUCUCUUGAUGAGGAUCUCGCUUGUAGUACAAGGGAUUGGGGGAAAAAAAAACUAAUCUCUGAGAAAGACUGACCUUUUUGUUGUAGUUACUGUGGCCCUUUAAUGAUCUCUCUCUGCUUCCAUCGCUGAUGCCGAAUAAAGCGUGACAAGGACAACGUAAAAGAAACCAAGAAAUACAAAGAAACGUUACAGAAGGAAAGAAAGAAAGACGAAGAAGAUGAUGAUUAUGAUGAUGAUGAAACUUUCGGCCAAUAAUAGAGGCAGUUGGCCAAAUUUAGUGGUGUGCUGCGCCUACUACUACAAGGAGACAAAACUAUGGUAUUGACGCUGGUUUUAAUUAAAAAAUACUUGGCGAACGGAAAGGAAUGAAACUCUUCAAUUGUGAAGUGGGUUUGGCCCAGAGGGAACUAAUCUCUUCUCCACGCCAUAUCUUGGAUCGAUUUCCUCAUUGGGUGGUGAAGGCGGAGUUGGCGGUGGUGGCCCAAGAAGUCGAUGUGUGUUCAUUCUUUGAAAAUGAAUGCACAAGGAACGAGUAGUCUUGUGAGGGAAAGAAUCACAAGAAGGGGGUGGACGGUUGAAAUGAUGGCGGUAGAAGCGGUGGUUUCUUGAAGAGGACUCAAAGGAAGAAGUAGGGUUUGGGUGUCUAUCCGCGGAGGUGAAAAAGAAAAGGAGGAGAAACAUCAAGAUUAAAAGGCAAGAAUGACGAGACAUGGUGUGGUUGAAGAAAGAGGAGUUGAUGGAGAGGUCCAGAGAGAGAGCGGUGAAGAGACACAGGAGAAAAGGGAGAGAAGAUGGCGAUAGAAGAAAGAGG